rnacentral:rRNA from 1 species
UAUGUGAUCGUCUCUCGCAUAUCAAUAAGCGGAGGAAAAGAAACUAACAAGGAUUCCCCUAGUAACGGCGAGUGAAGCGGGAAGAGCUCAAAUUUGAAAUCUUAAAGGGUUUCCCUUUACGAAUUGUAGUUUAAAGAAGUGUUUUCUGUUGAGGUUUUGGUAAAAGUUCUUUGGAAUAGGACAUCAUAGAGGGUGAGAAUCCCGUAUUUGACCUUUACUUUCAACUUUGUGAUACACUUUCAAAGAGUCGGAUUGUUUGGGAAUGCAGUCCAAAAUGGGUGGUAAAUUUCAUCUAAAGCUAAAUAUUGGCGAGAGACCGAUAGCGAACAAGUACCGUGAGGGAAAGAUGAAAAGAACUUUGAAAAGAGAGUUAAACAGUACGUGAAAUUGUCAAAAGGGAAGCGUUUGACACCAGUGUUGUUUUUCUGAAAAUCAAUUAAGGAACUGUUUAUGCUAAGCUGUUUAGACUUUAUCAGCUAACUGUUUAGUUUUGAGCUUUUCUUUAAUGCACUUUUCAGUUAACAAGUCAACAUCAAUUUCUUUUGCUGUAAAAAAGCUUGAGGAAGGUGGCUUGAGAUUCGUCUUAAGUGUUUAUAGCCUCUUGCCUAUGCAGUCGGAGAGAUUGAGGUCUGCAGCGUAGAUCCUUCGGGGCUAAAUGCAUUUGUGCUAAGUUAUAGCAUUUUAUAGACAACUUGUUGACUAUGAUUUGUCUUGUAGCUUACUCGCUUAUGUUAUUUUACCUACGCUUAGGAUGUUGACGCGCGUGUGUGCGUG